rnacentral:rRNA from 1 species
UACAGAGGUCUCAAGCGUUGUUCGGGAUUCAUUGGGCGUAAAGGGUGCGUAGGCGGCGCGGUAAGUCGGGUGUGAAAUCUCGGAGCUUAACUCCGAAACUGCAUUCGAUACUGCCGUGCUUGAGGACUGGAGAGGAGACUGGAAUUUACGGUGUAGCGGUGAAAUGCGUAGAUAUCGUAAGGAAGACCAGUGGCGAAGGCGGGUCUCUGGACAGUUCCUGACAGCUGAGAACACGGAAGGCCAGGGGAGCAAACGGG